rnacentral:rRNA from 1 species
AUUGAACGCUGGCGGCAGGCCUAACACAUGCAAGUCGAGCGGAUGAGGGGAGCUUGCUCUCUGAUUCAGCGGCGGACGGGUGAGUAAUGCCUAGGAAUCUGCCUGGUAGUGGGGGACAACGUUUCGAAAGGAGCGCUAAUACCGCAUACGUCCUACGGGAGAAAGCAGGGGACCUUCGGGCCUUGCGCUAUCAGAUGAGCCUAGGUCGGAUUAGCUAGUUGGUGGGGUAAAGGCUCACCAAGGCGACGAUCCGUAACUGGUCUGAGAGGAUGAUCAGUCACACUGGAACUGAGACACGGUCCAGACUGCUACGGGAGGCAGCAGUGGGGAAUAUUGGACAAUGGGCGAAAGCCUGAUCCAGCCAUGCCGCGUGUGUGAAGAAGGUCUUCGGAUUGUAAAGCACUUUAAGUUGGGAGGAAGGGCAGUAAGUUAAUAGCACAUCAUUUUGACGUUACUCGCAGAAGAAGCACCGGCUAACUCUGUGCCAGCCGCCGCAGUAACAC